rnacentral:lncRNA from 1 species
AUAAAAAGGUCUGAUUUUUAUUUUAUAAGCUUUACCAUAAAUUAUAAGACAAUAUAUAGUCAGUCAUGUUGAUAUUUUAAAACUAGUUAAGCAUAUUCAUAUUUUUAAAAUACUCAACAUAUGAUGGUUAGAGGGGUUAAGGUUUCGUAUGACCAGCAUGGUCCUGUCUUUGUCUGAUCCUUUCCAUUUGCAGUGGUUUCGACGAGAUGUGGUAGAUGGCUUGCCAGUGCUACCUGCAGCAGUUCAUCCGUUGUAUUGUUGUCAUCAUCUCCUGUUGCCUUCAGCCCUCAAAGUUGCUGAAGGAGAGAGGGAGGUUUUUGAGGUUUGUCUCCCUAUCUGCAGGGAGGAAAACCCAUGGUUUCUCACCUAGACUAAGAGUUCUGUAAUAAAUUUUACUCCUCCACCUUCUUAUAUUAGUUAAAAUUCUAUCAAACUUUAAUUUAAAAUAAAUUUUUAUCUUUUAUUUAAAAAAAUAUAUUAAGAUAUCUUAAUUUUAUUGUUAAUCAUUUUUGUGC